AUUUCAGGGGCGACAGAAAACCCCCUCUACAACAAAGGGGAAGCUCCAAAGAUUUCAACAUUUCUGGAGGAGGCUGCUGACAGAGGAUGAAACACAGAUCCUUCCAUGCUGAUGGCCUCCUGCACCCAGCAGAGCUGAGCGACUCCUGUCAAAGCCUAUGAACCAGAUGACUAUAUGAGACAGACACCAUACUGUUCCACUCAAAGAUGAGAUGUAAUCUAUAGCGUUUGGUGCUGAGAUUCUUCAGGACAAGGCCUUGAUGCCAUUCACACUUGAUACAUGAAGAUGGUCACCAUCAUCAGUCCUUUCUUUAAUUGACCAGAGAACAUGAAUAGAAGAGCCUCAUGACCCUCAGAUGUUUCAUAACUGAAUUCACCAAACAUCUGGCUGAUUACUGGCAAUUUGUAGUAAAGAGAGCGGACAAGUGAAGAGAGAGGAGGGCACGGCAUCAGAAAGGACCUUGAGCUGCGCCUGUCUUGGAUCACCCAAAGCACAACUACGCUGUGUCCAAGCACUGAACAAGGCUUUUCUCCUUUACAUGUUAAAUGUAUUUAAUUUAAGGCAGGGUUUUAUUUUUCUGCAUAGUGAAUUACAAGGUGGCUGCCUCUGUCAAAUUUGAUGCUGUCUCCAGCUAUUAACAAAACAUUCACAUGCUCCGAUACCCCUUCUCCACCAACACGGUUCUGUUGCAGGCUCCUGGCCUGUGUCCAUUCUCAAACUGUUCCACACACCUCCACUGCACAAAAGGCAGUUCCAGGUCAGAAAUAUCGGUACCCUCCCUCUUCAACGUCCCUCGCCAGUCAUCACAUUCACAACCACCACAGUCAACGCAAAUCAAGGACCCUGGUCCACAGCAUCAACCAUCUUUGUAGGAAGAUGAUUACCGCAUUUCUUGAUUUAUCUUUAAAAUUUAGUUUUCUUAUGGAGUGCCAUGCCUCUCUAGAGGGACUGAGGUCUAUCCGUCUUACAAAAUACUGUGUCAAACACUGCAUGUUCUCAAAAAAAAAAAAAAAAUCAAAUUAAUAAAAUACUUAAGAAUUUGUGCUUAUAAAAAGUGUUUUUUGUUUUUUUAAUCUAGUUGAAGGUAGGGUACAAAAUAAAGAUUUUACUUCUGCAUCAUUUUGAGCUAGAAAAGCCCUGAUUUAAGGUUUGUGAAGUAAUUGUACAAUAAAACUUUUUAAUAUUACCUCUAAACCUUGCAAGUUGUACAGUACAAUACUUAUUUAGUAUUGUCAUGUUCGUACAAACGCAAACUAGAUUGUAAUUUAAUGUAAAAUAGUGUAUUCAUCCAUGUUGAAGGUAAGAGUGUGAAACAACGUCGCAUUAUCAAUGUUGAUCCAAUUUGCAAAAUCAACAGUUCCAGGUAGGCUUUUCUCAACAAGAGCACAGUUGAUGCUGUAAUCCAGGGCCGGAUUAUCCAUAGACGGGAUUGGGCGAGUGCCCUGGGGCACCAGCCAAUAGGGGGGUCACAGAAAAGUGACUUUGUUUAAAAGUAUUGUUGUUAAAUAUUGUAGAGCGGACUGCAUCGGUCCGCUCUCACUUCCGUUCUGUGACUGCGGUUCUGAAACUGAUGGUGCUGCGGGUCUGCAGCUGGAUACUAUUGCUUUGAUCGUGAAAGUGAAAGUGCCCUUUGCGGUCGCAUCGCGGUGCCCCUGAGUUCCCAUUUCUCCUCCCCCGGAACGCAAUUUCGCCCCUGUCCUCGCGGAGGUCUGUGCAUGCCACUGCAUGGAGGACACCAGGUUUAUUCUUGCCUAUUUAUUGGGAAAAUCUUAGGCCUAUAGACAAAAUUAUAGGCCUGUGUAGUGUCCCAUGCACUGACAACCAUAAACAUUCACAGUGCUAUCUAGGUAGUCCGGUGGCUGACGAUUCUGUAAUUUCCGCUGAAUGAAACAUAAAAUGAUACAUAUAUGUAAAUGUUCAUGUGCAUUUUUUUUUACCUAGGAAGCUCGUAUUUACGAUAAUUCUGAUAGCAUGUAAAGGCACUUCAAAUGUGGUCACCCUAGGGCGCUACACUGUUAAUCCGGGCCUACUGUAAUCAUUUCAUUUUGGCAAACGUUUUUACUGGUUCUUUGGCUCUGGAGGGUGUUUCGUCUGCGGUCAUCAGGUGUUCACUAUAUCAGUCACAGUCACUACUGCUCAAACGCGGUGUGUUUGCUUUAAAACGGAAAAGUUUUCAAAGCACAUUGUAUCACACCAAAGACUAUAGAUAUAGGGACUUUGAUCACACGCUGUCAAUACUACAUGAUUGAUUGAUUGACGUUUUGAAGCUUCGAACGUCAUGCAGUAUCGGAAGAUCAGGACAGCUGGUUUAAAAUUUUGAAAAUUGGCGCUUCACGAGCCGCGCGUAAAAGGGAAAUGCAUUUUUUUUUUUUUUUUUUUUUUUUAACAUAAUAUAAGGGUUAAUAUUUUUUCAGACUAUGUUUUACCAUACAGAUUGUGUCAAAACAGUGUUAACAUGAAAACAGAGUUAUGAAAUUGUAUAUGCCCAGACUGUACUAGACUAGAUAUGACCCUUCAAUAUUAUUUGCACUCUGCAGCUCACUACAUGCGUAGUCAUCUAUAGCCAAAUCUACAUUUAAAAAAUGUAUGACUGCUUGGUCUCACUUCAGUUCUUCUGUGCCACUUUCUCCAUAGCUGCACUGCCUUCAACCAAAAGUAUGGUCACCUGCGCUGCCUGGAUCCAUCCACCAUCAGCGUACUAGAAAAUCCAUCUAUGUCAAUGAUCAGCUUUUCCCUUUUGCUCAUGGUUUUCUCAGAGGUGGCGAGUUUUCCACACGCACAAAUUAUUUUAAUCUGUCACAUGACCUCACAAUUUCUGAUGUAUCAAAUUAUUCGCACCACUUCAUAUUUCUAAAGCACUCUAAAACUGAUAGGAACAAGAAAGGAAUAGUUGUUUGUAUCUCUGAAUCUAACUCUGCUUUUAUCCUCUGUCAUCUAUGUUGGGCUACCUGAGGAGCCGUCCACAAGCUGGUCAGCAGGACACAUUAUUUGCCACGGAGGAGGGAAAGCCCAUGUCCAGGGCCUGGUUUGCCUCCCAUCUACGCCCUCUCUGCAAUGCUACAAGCUUCCCCAGAGCUUCCUUCAUUCACUGUGCCAUGUGCUGCUACAACCGCAGCUUCCUCCACUCCUGUCCCUACAUUAAAGGCCAUGGGGCGAUGGUCUUCAGCUGCUUAUGAACGUUACCUCCGGCCGAUGCUCGAGCCAUCCUUGAGAAAAGCAAUGAGUGCUGCUCCCUGAUCCAUGGCUUGAAAAUAAAUAUUAUGGCUUCAAUAGCUGUUGGGCCUAUUUACAUUUAAAUACUGUAAAUUUGACCGCAGAUGCGUGAUGACGCUGCGUGUGCUUUUGGUGCGUGUCCACUGGCAAUAGCAGAGCGAGCGUUUUCAAUUAAUUUCUUUGAAGUUGAGCGUGAAGUUCGGAAAAGCUGAAGCAAAUUACAUUCACGGGAUUCAUUGCACAGGGUACGAGAGAGUUGUGAGAAACGCGUGCUUUGCUUGAUGUUUACAUUUGCUGUUUGUGGUCUCACCCAAAUGCUCUACGAAGGCAUCAUUUAUGUUGUUUGGAAUGAUGUGGGCUUAUAUAUAAAAAUAUGAAAUUCACUGACGGAAGGCUGCUUUUGAUUUCAAAUUCUCACGUGCGCUUUGGGAAAAGCACUCACGCAUGCGACUAGUGCUUAAAUGUACUUGCUUCUCAAAAUGCUUUUGACGCAAAAUUAAAAAAAAAAAAAAAAUUGCUACAUUCCUCUUGCUAGCUUCACAUAGAUCGAUUGGCUCUUAAAUUCAGUAAGAUUAGCUUUCUGAAACGCUCAUUUUGGUUUCUCUGCUGGCUCUUCAAUUUAGCAGGAAGAGCCAGGGAGGAUCACCUGGUAUGGUCUGUUUGGGGGGGAAUUUUGUGCUGCUCUCCCAGUUAAAAAAAUGGGAGGUUGUCCCCAGAAGCUGCUGCUGUUCCCGGUCUUAGCUUUCAUGGAGCUCAUGAAAAGGACGGGGAAUUUAGAACAGAGCCAUACCACCAAAUGUAACUUCAGCAAAAUAUGCCAAUAAAAAAUUGACUAAAAAGUUUGUCUCUGGUAAUUUUUUGACUUAAGUGGUCCUGACUCAAAUAUGUUUUUUUUGUACCUUUCUAGAUCUUGAGAGGUUCUGUGGCUUUGCUCUCAAUAGAGUCCUCACUGAGCCAUCAGAUUUCAUCAAAAAUAUCUUAAUUUGUGACAAGCUGUGUUUCGUGAAUGAAUCGUCAAUGAUUCAAUGACCUAUUCAUAAAUACAGCCACUUGCUUUGAUACUGAAAGAAUGAAGGACUCGAUGAUUCACUCAUAAAGACAGUGACUUACUGCCACCUACUGGCGGUUUCAAUUUAAUAUUUAAUGUUUUUAUCAUCAUUGUAUUUAUUGAACUUUUUUUUUUAAAGCAUUAUUUACUUUAUAAAGGUAUUUAUAAAGGUAAAAAAAAAAAAAAAAUGCACUGGAAAAAUCGAUUUAAGAGGGCAAAUAUUGUCCUUUAAUGGAAAGUGAAAGAGGGGGUACCGAAAGAUGUUAAUGCCUCAGGGGGUACAACACUAACCACGACAAUAAAAAGUUUGAGAUCCACUGAAAAGGGAUAUGUAAAAUUGCACAAGUGCUACUGCUAAGAGUGCAGUGUCAAUACAGCCUGUUACCUUGAUUCAAAGUUUUCAUAAGCUUAAAUUAAUUGGUCUAAAGAGAAAAAUUGUAAUGACUAUUUUGUCUAAAGACUACAUAUAGAAUAGCUAUCAAAAGUAAUGUUGGUAACUGUAGUUUGACUAAAAGUAAUGACUAAGACUUGACAAAAAUGUGAUGAAUUUUCACUGACUAAAACUAGACUAAAAUAUUAAAGACAAAAUUUACAAAAAUGUGACCAAGACUAAAGAGCAUUUUUGUCUGAAGAUUAAGACUAAAUCAAAAAUGGCUGCCAAAAUUAACACUGAAACCCACAAUCUUUGUGUUAAUAAUCUAGAGCUCGAGCCACAGUGUCACACCACCAACAUCUACACCAGCAGUCAAAGAGACACACCGUUCAACAAAGUGUUGUGCAGCUGCAGCAGUUUACAUGAACAUUAAAAAUCAUCUGCAGUAGAUUAUAGUGUUGAUAAAUUGGUAUCGUUUCUGACCAGUAGGUGGUGCUGUCACCAAACCUGACAUCUCUGAUCAGAUAAAUGGACCGACA